rnacentral:rRNA from 1 species
GGACGGCAGCUACACAUGCAGUCGAACGGCAGCACAGAAGAGCUUGCUCUUUGGGUGGCGAGUGGCGGACGGGUGAGUAAUGUCUGGGAAACUGCCCGAUGGAGGGGGAUAACUACUGGAAACGGUAGCUAAUACCGCAUAACGUCGCGAGACCAAAGUGGGGGACCUUCGGGCCUCACACCAUCGGAUGUGCCCAGAUGGGAUUAGCUAGUAGGUGGGGUAAUGGCUCACCUAGGCGACGAUCCCUAGCUGGUCUGAGAGGAUGACCAGCCACACUCGAACGAGACACGGGCCAGAAUCCCACGCGAAGCAGCAGGAAGAACAGAACACAAUGACCGCAAGCCAGAAGCAGCCAUGCCCAGGCAGCAAGAACACCCGGGUAAGAAAGUACUCUCAGCGGAGACGAAGCCGAGAACGUUAAUAACCCUGCCGAUUGACGUAACCCACAGAAGAAGCACCCGCUAACCCCGCACCAGCAGCCGCGGUAAUACGAAGGGCACAAGCGCGAAUCGGAAUUAACGGGCGUAAAGCGCACGCAGGCCGUCUGUUAAGUCAGAUGUGAAAUCCCCGGGCUUAACCUGGGAACUGCAUUUGAAAACGGCAGGCCUGAGUCUCGUAGAGGGGGGUAGAAUUCCAAGUGUUAAGCGGUGAAAUGCCGUAGAGAUCCGGAGGAAUACCCGGGUGCCAAAGGCGGCCCCCUUGGACGAAGACUGACCGCUCAAGGGCCAAAGCGUGGGGAGCAAACAGGAUUAGAUACCCUGGUAGUUCCACGCCGUAAACGAUGUUCGACUUGGAGGUUGUGCCCUUGAGGGCCGGGCUUCCGGAGCUAACGCGUUAAGUCGACCCGCCCGGGGAAGUACGGCCGCAAGGUUAAAACUCAAAUGAAUUGACGGGGGCCCCGCCACAAGCGGGGGAGCACAUGUUGGUUUAAUUCGAUGCAACGCGAAGAACCUUACCUGGCCUUGACAUCCAGAGAACUUAGCAGAGAUGCUUUGGUGCCUUCGGGAACUCUGAGACAGGUGCUGCAUGGCUGUCGUCAGCUCGUGUUGUGAAAUGUUGGGUUAAGUCCCGCAACGAGCGCAACCCUUAUCCUUUGUUGCCAGCGGUUCGGCCGCGAACCCAAAAGAGACUGCCGGUGAUAAACCGGAGGAAGGUGGGGAUAACGGAAAGGCAGCAUGACCCGGACAGCCAGGCCUACACACCUACCACAACGACACACAAAAAAAAAAGCGACCUCGCGAAACCAAGCGAACCUCAUAAAGUGCGCCGCAAACCGGAUUGGAGUCUGCAACUCGACCCAAUCAAGACGCAAUCGCUAGAAAUCGCAGAUCAGAAUGCUACGGUGAAUACGUUCCCGGGCCUUGUACACACCGCCCGUCACACCAUGGGAGUGGGUUGCAAAAGAAGUAGGUAGCUUAACCUCGGGAGGGCGCUACCACUUUGAUCGUUCAG